AAUUCGUGAUGUGGGCAUAUAUUCAUUAGGUCCUUGAAUCUCUCCCAAGAAUCUUGGAACGUCUCAUCACCUCGCUGCAUGAACUGAAUGAUCUGCUUCUGUAGGU